GUCUCAGGCCGUAUCAGCCUGAAGGCGCCGGAUCUCGUCUGUUCUCGGAAGCUAAGCAGGGUCGGGCCUGGUUAGGAUCUUGGGAUGGGAGACCACCUGGGAAUCCCGGGUGCUCGAGGCU
ensembl:rRNA 5S_rRNA 5S ribosomal RNA